GACGAACGCUGGCGGCGUGCCUAACACAUGCAAGUCGAACGGAGUUACGGGAGCUUGCUCCUGUAACUUAGUGGCGAACGGGUGAGUAACGCGUGAGAAACCUGCCUUUCAGUGGGGGACAACAGUUGGAAACGACUGCUAAUACCGCAUAAUGUGCCGGGGGGGCAUCCUCCUGGUACCAAAGCUUAAUGUGCUGAAAGAUGGUCUCGCGUCUGAUUAGCCAGAUGGCGGGGUAACGGCCCACCAUGGCGACGAUCAGUAGCCGGUCUGAGAGGAUGAACCGCCACAUUGGGACUGAGAUACGGCCCAGACUCCUACGGGAGGCAGCAGUGGGGAAUAUUGGGCAAUGGGGGAAACCCUGACCCAGCAACGCCGCGUGAAGGAAGAAGGCCUUCGGGUUGUAAACUUCUUUUAGUAGGGACGAAGAACGUGACGGUACCUACAGAAAAAGCAACGGCUAACUACGUGCCAGCAGCCGCCGUAACAC
rnacentral:rRNA from 1 species